UUCAAUUGAGUAAACAUUUCCUAAUUACUUAAGAGCAAAGCGUUGUUAGGUGCCUAGGGAAACAAAGACAAAUCAUUGCUUCCUGUCUCCAAAAAGUUCCCCAUUGAGCAAGCAGGUGAGCUACAAUAAAAGCAACAGGUCUUAUUAACAAAGGGCUGGGCAAAUCCAGAGGAGAGUGUGAUAAAUUCCACUUUGGUGAGACUUCCGUGGAAGAACUAAAAGCUGGACCUUGAAGAUCUGUCUGCUGUGUGCCAGACACAUGUCUGUGAUUCAGAGGGCAGCAUUGACUCUGGAGUGUGCAGAAGAUAAUGAAUCUGGAAAAGAAAACUGGGGCCAGACUGAAAAUUUCAGUGCCUCUCUGCCCUUAUCCCCUCCAGAUACUCUCUUCUACUACCUUGCUUAUUCCCCAAGACCCAGCUCAACCUCUACCUUCUUUAUUAAAUCUUCCUGAUUACC
rnacentral:lncRNA from 1 species